GCAAUAGUGGUUCAGCUGUAGGAUUCUCACCUUCAAUACGGGAGACCUGGGUUCAGUUCCCAGCCAAUGCA
rnacentral:tRNA from 1 species